UAGGCGGCACCCCGGCAGAUACCCGGGGAGACUGUCAAUGAGCAAAGGUAUUAACUUUACUCCCUUCCUCCCCGCUGAAAGUACUUUACAAACCGAAGGCCUUCUUCAUACACGCGGCAUGGCUGCAUCAGGCUUGCGCCCAUUGUGCAAUAUUCCCCACUGCUGCCUCCCGUAGGAGUAAA
rnacentral:rRNA from 1 species